GGGCCCGUAGCGAAGCCAGGACAUCGCGCAGCCCUCCGGAGGCUGAACUCACCGGUUCGAAUCCGGUCGGGCCCGCCA
rnacentral:tRNA from 1 species